rnacentral:tRNA from 1 species
AAAAGUUUAGUUUAAUUAAAAAUAUUUCAUUUACAAUUGAAAAGAUUAUUAGUUUUAAAAAUUUUA